GCGGAGGGAUCAUUACAAGUUGACCCCGGCCCUCGGGCCGGGAUGUUCACAACCCUUUGUUGUCCGACUCUGUUGCCUCCGGGGCGACCCUGCCUCCGGGCGGGGGCCCCGGGUGGACAUUUCAAACUCUUGCGUAACUUUGCAGUCUGAGUAAAUUUAAUUAAUAAAUUAAAACUUUCAACAACGGAUCCCUUGGUUCUGGCA
rnacentral:misc_RNA from 1 species